UGUAAAGCUAUAUAGUUUUCUGACAUAUAGCAGUUUGGUUAGGAAUGCAUAACACACCUUCCCUCUCUGUUUAUAUCCAAAUAUGAGGUCUAUCCAGUGAUGCAGAUUUUGAGAAACAUAAUCAGAUUCCAACGCUUCUCGAUGCUUCUUAAUGAAUUCUCUAGCACUUCCUUUGGCCCAUGGAGGCAAGAAGACAUCACCCACCUUAAGAAAGACCAAUAUUAUAAGUUUACAAUUUUAAAUACCCAAAGCAAGGGAAAAUGAAUUGCACAUAGUGGAAAACCAACCUUCUCUCCUGAUUGUUUUUCUCCCAAGUCAAGGUGGAAUCUAUUUUCCAGGAAUUCUGGCAUGUAGAAGAAUUCUGGAAUCAAUUCCUUCACAUCAGAUGUGUUGCCCUUCCCAGCAGCACUUAACCAAGUGUCUUUAACACUAUUGAAAAGUCGAUCAGCAUGAUCAAAUUGCCCACCCUGCAGCUUUUGAUUCUCUGCACUAAAUGGUGGCAGGCGUAGAAGAUAGAAGAGAACAAUUCCAGCACUAGAAUAGUGAGAACCAUAAUGAAAUUUUGGAACCUCUGGAUCAUCCCAGCUCUCAUAUCUGAAUAGGGAAAAAAAUGAAAAUAAUAAAUAAGCAGCAAAAAGAAAAAAUAAUGGCAGUUUAUACAAAAAAUUAACCUUUUCUUAAAUUCCUCUUCCCCUUCUGGCGUCUGACAGCCCAUUGGUUUGUCAAGCUUGCGAAAUGUUUUAGGAUUGGAUAAAUCCAGAUUUUCACUCUCAUAGUCUGCCAGUACCCAUGGAAACACUGGAUAUUGGGUGAGAUCACUGUAUCCCCUCCCAGCCAAUGUGUUCAGAUGCAUAAGGUAUUGGAAAUUACUAAUUUCUCCAUUUUGCCACCUUUUUGAGAAGGAUUUAGCCACUAUCUUAAAUAAACGACUGCCUUCAUUACUUUCUUGUUUAGUUGACCCAGAAAUUGUAGUGUCCAACCUGUAGCAAGGAAGAAAUUUUUGAAACAAGCCACGAGUUUUUGAGGACAAGGAAGAAACAAUAGGACAAUGUUAACAGGCACCACAGCAUAUGGAGAUCAAGAAUAUAAAUCCUUGAUGAUACCUAAGAUAUCAAAGGAAAAGAGAUCUCUCGAAAUAGAUUUGGGGACACUAUUAUCCAGUAGCAUGUGAAAACUGUAAUACAAGCUAUAUAUUCAGCAGACAGAGACACAAAACCAAUCUAACCAGCUAUUUAUUUCAACAGCAUCACUAUUUCAGAGCAUGUUUUAAGAUAUUUCAACUAGAGGAGGCUAGUUUAUGGGCUGGGAAGAAACAUGUAAAACUCUGUAGUCAGUGAAUGACAAUCGCAAACCUAGCAUUCACUUCAAAGCUUUUGAGAGACAGAGGCCCAAUUGGUUGCUGAGAAAUUCUAGAAUAAUAGACCAAAAUGCAAAACACAACAAAAAACCUGGGGAGAAGCACAAACAAAAACAACAUUGGAUCCCCAUUUGUUUUCAGUCUUUUCUCAUGGAAUAGUAUGUGCUCAACCUGUAAAGCUAUAUAGUUUUCUGACAUAUAGCAGUUUGGUUAGGAAUGCAUAACACACCUUCCCUCUCUGUUUAUAUCCAAAUAUGAGGUCUAUCCAGUGAUGCAGAUUUUGAGAAACAUAAUCAGAUUCCAACGCUUCUCGAUGCUUCUUAAUGAAUUCUCUAGCACUUCCUUUGGCCCAUGGAGGCAAGAAGACAUCACCCA
rnacentral:lncRNA from 1 species